GAGGCGAAUGGCCGAGCUGUGACACAUAGUCAUUAGUUUUGCAGUAUUUCCACUAUAAGUGUGCAUUACUGCUAAUGAAAGGCUAUUCUCCACCAGCCCUUCCUAUAUGAUCUGGGGCGGAUCCAUAUAGGUUAAGUGGGUUCAUAUGAACCCACUUCGUCGAAAAAUUAUAUUGUAUAUAUAUACGUAUAUAUAAGUAGUUUUUACCAAUUUAAAAGGUAUAUAUUAUAUAUUGAAUCCAUUGUAAAUAAAAGAAUUGGUUAGCCCAUCGGUAGUGGGCUUAACACAUACAUCUCGUGUUCAAGCCCCAGUAGGGGCAUUUUUUUUAAUUAUUUUAUGUAGCAGCUAGUUUAAGCAAUUUUGAACUUACUUGGUGAAAAGUCCGGGUCCGCCACUGUAUAUGACUGUCAUAUUUUCCCAAGCUCAAGCCAAACUAAUGAAUCUGAUUUUCUUUUUUACUCAUAACAUUGUUAAUGAAUCUGCUAAAAAUUUUGUUUGACGUGAUCUUGAACAAAUUUUGGAUUCAUGAUUAAUAUAAGAAGUUAAUUUGAAUAGGUUAAUCUACCCACUUUUAGAUUAGUCUAAAGCACGGGCAUGAGCUCCCAAUCGUUUAUGUGCUGUGGGUAUUAUUAAGUUGACUGGUUUUGCUACUUGAUUAAUUUAAAGGUGGGGAAAACUUUUGGCUACUAAAGCUUUAAUGCUAACAUUGAAACAUGCCUCUGUUAUGCUUUUAUUUAAUUUGCUCCUUUCAUAUACUAUUUCAUCAUCUUUGGACUAGCCACUAAUCUUUAUCCUUUUCAUUGUUUCAUGUACACUCUCGGGAGCUGGAAUUUCGCAAUGGAACUCAAUCCGACCCAUAACAUCUGUUCAACAACUGGAUCGUCCAAGUUCGUGGUUCACGUAGUUAGAAAUUGGUUUCAUUAAAGAGAACCUAACGUAUCUUCUACUUUCUUUACAUCUUAUUAUAGGGACAUCUCUUUAACUAACCUUGUAUUUCUUCGGAUAUGAAUCUUUGUGUGGUUUAAUUAAAUUUGGAUUAGCUUUAUGUGUGUUUGGUUUUGUUUAGAUUCGAAAUAUUUAGAAUUAG
rnacentral:lncRNA from 1 species